UACGGGGGGUGCAAACGUUGCUCGGAAUCAUUGGGCGUAAAGCGCACGUAGGCGGUUUGUUAAGUCGGGUGUGAAAGCCCAGGGCUCAACCCUGGAAGUGCACUCGAAACUGGCAGGCUUGAAUAUGGAAGAGGGUCGCGGAAUUCCCGGUGUAGAGGUGAAAUUCGUAGAUAUCGGGAGGAACACCAGUGGCGAAGGCGGCGACCUGGGCCAAUAUUGACGCUGAGGUGCGAAAGCGUGGGGAGCAAACAGG
rnacentral:rRNA from 1 species